rnacentral:lncRNA from 1 species
UGAGACCUGAAGAGGGGUUGUCUUAGAAAAGAAUUUGUUGGAAAAAAUCAGGGAAAUGAGACCUGUGGCUUAUCAUGGGCCAAUACCAUAGGUUUGAAAUAGGGUGUUUCUAGGUCCUAGGAACUAGGAAUGAAAAUGUGAGACGUACUAUGACAAUUAAUCUUGUACAUAACAAUCUUGCAACUGAUUAGCAUCAAUGAAUCCGGUAGGUGAAUAAGAGUGUAAAUGUGUGUAAUUCGUGGCACUGGAAUCUAAAUCUUGAUGGAUCAGUAGAGUAUUGUCUUCACACCUCAACCACCAUGCAACAUCGAUC